AUCACACGGGAAGCUAUCCCCCAACAGCUUGGCCUUAGGGCGAUCAAGUUGGCAGCGCCAUCAAAUUUUCAUCACCAAUUUCCAAUCUGCUCAGAGAAAAGAUGAAUUAGAGGCCAUCUCUCACGAAGCGCGUGCUGAUCUGAUUGCUCUGGGGCUGAUUCUCAUCUACCUUUUAAGCCCUGGCCCUUCAUGGGCUGAUUUUCAGAACCAAGUUAAAACUCAAGGAAUCCCCGCCAAUGAUGAGCUCCCAAUCCCAAUUGUUGCAUAUAUGCGCCACAUUUCAACAGCAAAAACGCUUGAUUACCUGACUCUGCGUUCCAUCUUUACUGAGCGCUCGAAAAAUACUCCCCCUGGGGUGGAGUUCCAAGGACAACAAGCAACAAAUACCGGGAGCAUUGAACACCUUUACUGUUCACUUCGCCAACAGCAAGCGACUGCA
rnacentral:sRNA from 1 species